rnacentral:rRNA from 1 species
UACGUACGUGGCGAGCGUUAUCCGGAAUUACUGGGCGUAAAGCGUGCGUAGGCGGUUUAGUGUGUGGGAAUUGAAAGCCCGGGGCUCAACUCCGGAUCCGGUUCCCAAACUGCUAGACUCGAGCGUAUCAGAGGAGAGCGGAAUUCCCGGUGUAGCGGUAAUAUGCGUAGAUAUCGGGAGGAACACCAGUGGCGAAGGCGGCUCUCUGGGGUAUUGCUGACGCUGAGGCACGAAAGCCAGGGGAGCGAACGGG